rnacentral:rRNA from 1 species
ACGGCGCACGGGUGCGUAACACGUGGGCAAUCUGCCCUUCGAUGGGGAAUAACUCCGGGAAACCGAAGCUAAUUCCGCAUAACAUUCCUUGGACUUCGGUUCGAGGACUCAAAGCCGUAAGGCGUCGAAGGAGGAGCCCGCGCACGAUUAGCUAGUUGGUAGGGUAACGGCCUACCAAGGCUUUGAUCGUUAGCUGGUCUGAGAGGAUGGCCAGCCACACUGGAACUGAGACACGGUCCAGACUCCUACGGGAGGCAGCAGUGGGGAAUCUUGCACAAUGGGCGAAAGCCUGAUGCAGCGACGCCGCGUGGGGGAUGAAGCAUUUCGGUGUGUAAACCCCUUUCGACCCGGACGAAUGCCUCGCAAGAGGAGUGACGGUACGGGUAUAAGAAGCCCCGGCUAACUACGUGCCAGCAGCCGCGGUAAGACGUAGGGGGCCAGCGUUGUUCGGAAUUACUGGGUGUAAAGGGUUCGUAGGCGGUGUGGCAAGUUGGGAGUGAAAUCUCUGGGCUCAACCCAGAGGCUGCUUCCAAAACUGCUGUGCUUGAGUGUGGGAGAGGCGCGUGGAAUUGCAGGUGUAGCGGUGAAAUGCGUAGAUAUCUGCAGGAACACCCGUGGCGAAAGCGGCGCGCUGGACCACAACUGACGCUGAGGAACGAAAGCUAGGGGAGCAAACAGGAUUAGAUACCCUGGUAGUCCUAGCCCUAAACGAUCAGGACUUGGGGUGCCGCACGUUCGUGCGUCGUCCCGGAGCUAACGCGUUAAGUCCUGCACCUGGGGAGUACGGUCGCAAGACUGAAACUCAAAGGAAUUGACGGGGGCCCGCACAAGCGGUGGAACAUGUGGUUCAAUUCGACGCUACGCGAGGAACCUUACCUGGGCUCGAAGCGCACCUGACUAGCUGUAGAAAUACGGCCUUCCCGCAAGGGACAGGUGUGGAGGCGCUGCAUGGCUGUCGUCAGCUCGUGCCGUGGGGUGUUGGGUUAAGUCCCGCAACGAGCGCAACCCCUGCACGUAGUUGCCACUCCGCAAGGAGGGAACU